rnacentral:rRNA from 1 species
UACAGGGGGGGCAAGCGUUGUUCGGAAUUACUGGGCGUAAAGGGUUCGUAGGUGGCCACUUAAGUCAGACGUGAAAUCCCUCGGCUUAACCGGGGAACUGCGUCUGAUACUGGUUGGCUCGAGUUUGGGAGAGGGAUGCGGAAUUCCAGGUGUAGCGGUGAAAUGCGUAGAUAUCUGGAGGAACACCGGUGGCGAAGGCGGCAUCCUGGACCAACACUGACGCUGAGGAGCGAAAGCCAGGGGAGCAAACGGG